rnacentral:rRNA from 1 species
GACGAACGCUGGCGGCGUGCUUAACACAUGCAAGUCGAACGGAAAGGCCCUGCUUUUGUGGGGUGCUCGAGUGGCGAACGGGUGAGUAACACGUGUGUAACCUGCCCUUGACUUUGGGAUAACUUCAGGAAACUGGGGCUAAUAUCGGAUAGGAGCUCCUGCUGCAUGGUGGGGGUUGGAAAGUUUCGGCGGUUGGGGAUGGAAUCGCGGCUUAUCAGCUUGUUGGUGGGGUAGUGGCUUACCAAGGCUUUGAAGGGUAGCCGGCCUUAGAGGGUGACCGGCCACAUUGGGACUGAGAUACGGCCCAGACUCGUACGGGAGGCAGCAGUGGGGAAUAUUGCACAAUGGGCGGAAGCCUGAUGCAGCAACGCCGCGUGCGGGAUGACGGCCUUCGGGUUGUAAACCGCUUUCGCCUGUGACGAAGCGUGAGUGACGGUAAUGGGUAAAGAAGCACCGGCUAACUACGUG